rnacentral:rRNA from 1 species
AUUGAACGCUGGCGGCGUGCCUAACACAUGCAAGUCGCACGCGAAAGGGGGCAACCCCAAGUAGAGUGGCGGACGGGUGAGUAACGCGUAGGAAUCUACCUAGUAGUGGGGGACAACCCGGCGAAAGCCGGGCUAACACCGCAUACGACCUAAGGGUGAAAGCAGGGGAUCGCAAGACCUUGCGCUAUUAGAUGAGCCUGCGUCCGAUUAGCUAGUUGGUGAGGUAACGGCUCACCAAGGCGACGAUCGGUAACUGGUUUGAGAGAACGACCAGUCACAGUGGGACUAAGACACGGCCCAAACUCCGACGGGAGGCAGCAGUGGGGAAUAUUGGACAAUGGGGGCAACCCUGAUCCAGCGACGCCGCGUGUGUGAAGAAGGCCUUCGGGUUGUAAAGCACUUUCGGCAGGGACAAACAAGACGGAGCUAACAUCUCCGUUCCUGAUGGUACCUGAAGAAGAAGCACCGGCUAACUCUGUGCCAGCCGCCGCGGUAA